GAUGAACGCUGGCGGCGUGCCUAAUACAUGCAAGUCGAGCGAACGGACGAGAAGCUUGCUUUUCUGAUGUUAGCGGCGGACGGGUGAGUAACACGUGGAUAACCUACCUAUAAGACUGGGAUAACUUCGGGAAACCGGAGCUAAUACCGGAUAAUAUUUUGAACCGCAUGGUUCAAAAGUGAAAGACGGUCUUGCUGUCACUUAUAGAUGGAUCCGCGCUGCAUUAGCUAGUUGGUAAGGUAACGGCUUACCAAGGCAACGAUGCAUAGCCGACCUGAGAGGGUGAUCGGCCACACUGGAACUGAGACACGGUCCAGACUCCUACGGGAGGCAGCAGUAGGGAAUCCUCCGCAAUGGGCGAAAGCCUGACGGAGCAACGCCGCGUGAGUGAUGAAGGUCUUCGGAUCGUAAAACUCUGUUAUUAGGGAAGAACAUAUGUGUAAGUAACUGUGCACAUCUUGACGGUACCUAAUCGGAAAGCCACGGCUAACUACGUG
rnacentral:rRNA from 1 species